CAAUAGCGUAUAUUAAAGUUGUUGCGGUUAAAAAGCUCGUAGUUGGAUUUCUGCCGAGGACGACCGGUCCGCCCUCUGGGUGAGUAUCUGGCUCGGCCUGGGCAUCUUCUUGGAGAACGUAGCUGCACUUGACUGUGUGGUGCGGUAUCCAGGACUUUUACUUUGAGGAAAUUAGAGUGUUUCAAGCAGGCUUACGCCUUGAAUACAUUAGCAUGGAAUAAUAAGAUAGGACCUCGGUUCUAUUUUGUUGGUUUCUAGAGCUGAGGUAAUGAUUAAUAGGGAUAGUUGGGGGCAUUCGUAUUUAACUGUCAGAGGUGAAAUUCUUGGAUUUAUUAAAGACGGACUACUGCGAAAGCAUUUGCCAAGGAUGUUUUCAUUGA
rnacentral:rRNA from 1 species